AAGUGACAUACUAUCCUCAAUGCACACAGACUCCUCUGAUUUUGGAAGCUAAGCAGGGUCAAGCUUGUUUAGUACUUGGAUGGGUGACCACUAGGAAGUAGUGGUCUACUUC
rnacentral:rRNA from 1 species